rnacentral:rRNA from 1 species
AUUGAACGCUGGCGGCAGGCUUAACACAUGCAAGUCGAGCGGGGUGAUGGUGCUUGCACUAUCACUUAGCGGCGGACGGGUGAGUAAUGCUUAGGAAUCUGCCUAUUAGUGGGGGACAACAUCUCGAAAGGGAUGCUAAUACCGCAUACGUCCUACGGGAGAAAGCAGGGGAUCACUUGUGACCUUGCGCUAAUAGAUGAGCCUAAGUCGGAUUAGCUAGUUGGUGGGGUAAAGGCCUACCAAGGCGACGAUCUGUAGCGGGUCUGAGAGGAUGAUCCGCCACACUGGGACUGAGACACGGCCCAGACUCCUACGGGAGGCAGCAGUGGGGAAUAUUGGACAAUGGGGGAAACCCUGAUCCAGCCAUGCCGCGUGUGUGAAGAAGGCCUUAUGGUUGUAAAGCACUUUAAGCGAGGAGGAGGCUCUUUUGGUUAAUACCCAAGAUGAGUGGACGUUACUCGCAGAAUAAGCACCGACUAACUCUGUGCCAGCAGCCGCCGUAA